UAUUGAGCCUGGUAGAUUUGGAGGUCUGACCAUUUCUUGCUGCCUAUAGACAAGUUUCCAUAUCCCACACUGCCAUUGCUACUGCUUAAAGUUUGCACUGGCAAUAAAAGUGAGUGAUAAUUUUAACCCCAACUAAGUUAAGAUCACAUGAAGGGGACCACAAGCAGCCAAAACUUCAUGGGGUGUAACAAGGAUCUGAUGAGUUCAGUGUUCAAGUCCUAUUGCCACAGCGGCACUGCUUAUCCCUAAAGAGAUAUUGGAAAACAGAGACAAUUAGACAAGUACCCUGAGUGAUGUCACAUCGUAAACCACCUUCCAAAGGGCUCCCGCCCUAACAGUGAUCUCUCUUCAUUUCUCAGAUGCCGGUCCUCAUUCCUAGCGUACAUUGCCAGGCAAGUGUAGCUGCUGGCCCACUCCAGAAACCCAGCAGUUUGGGGUCAAGCCCAGAUCACUAGCUCUGGUUGCCCUUGAUCCCUGGGAUAUUCCCGCCUUAUGCUUCUGGCAUCCCUCCCUUCAGAUAGACUUUGCACAGGACCACGGGUACAACUUGAGAUGGUCCCCACUCUAGACCUUAGAGGGUGUGGGGUCUCUAUCUAUCCCUUCUUCUUCAGAAGGCCCUGGACUCUUAUAAAGCUUGGUCCAGCCCCUCUAAAGGGACCAGAAUAUGCAGUCUGUGGGACAGUCAGCCUUUCUCAACCCACAGAAAGAUGUGACAUACGCUCCCUGAACAAUUUUUUUGUUUUGUUUUAUAUUGUUGCCUAAUGAAGAGGAAUCAUGCAAAUAAUUCCACCUGUAAUAAAAAUCUGCUCCCUGUGACUUUAUGGAUUAGUAAACUUCGAAGCAGCUCACAUAAUUUUUAAACUCUUUCCUCCUAUAAGGGGGUAUCACAGUUAGCUCGAGGAUGGGCGUCAUUAAGCACGGAAGGAAGGGCUCUUGGCCAAGCAGACAACCUCCUUGGGCCUCAGUUUCCCUGUCUUUAAAGUAAGGAGAACAAUCCCAAGGCUGUUGUUAGCCGUGGCGGGCAGGGAGGAUAGAAGGAAGGUGGCCCAAUUGAGUAGAACCAGGAAAAUGUCUGCCAUAAAGCAAGGCCACCUGGCCUAUAAAAGCAUUCUGGAGGGCUCUGGGUGCAGAUGCAAAGACAGGAAACUGCGAGACAGGGAAUUGGUAGCAACAACUCCAGGUAACUCGGCUUUUUAAUUAGAGAAGCCUUCAGCCGGCAGCAGAAUUGCUUCCGCCCCGCAAACCAGAGACCUGAAUCGUAGCAGUGCAACAUCCAGCGUUUGCACUUGGUAGUAACAGGGGUACAGUAAGGCCUCCCUGCUCCAUGCCGCAUCAUCCAUUAGAAAACAAAAAAGGUACAGUAAGUGCCACUGAGCUCCUCCAUUAAUUGCUAAGUAAGGGGAAAAAAAGAGAAGAAUAAAGUGCUUUUACCUGCUCGGCUGGAUAAUUAAAAGCUGCCUGAAGCACUGCUAACCUUUUCAUUAUGGCAGUGUUCAUUAUAAAGCCAGAAAGAAUUAACUACACUGCAUUAUCAGAUAUCGAAAAAUAUUAAUAGCAAAAGUGAGAAAGGGAAAGGAGGAAUUUUGGGCGAGUUAAUUAAACCACACGUCCUCAAUGACUUAUUAAGUGACUGGUCGAGCUUCCUGGAGCUCGGUGAGUCCCAGAGAGCAUGCGAUGUGUUUCUACUCCUCAGGAAAUGAGUUUCCAGCCCCGUGGACUUGUAUUAUUUUUCCUUCCUCUAUUGCAAAAUUCUUGUUUGUCUCUCUUCGCAAAUACUGCCGAGUGAGUCAAGUCCUGGAUUGGGACCAUCUUAGCGCCAAUAGAGUGGGAGCUGGUUGAGAGCCCUUGAAGGCCACUGCUGUGGGGACCACUGUGGGAACGAGACCACUGUGUUGUUCAGCAAAAGCCUUACAGUUCUUCUGUAACGGAGCAGGGUCUGGUACUACAGCCUGGCACAGGGCAUUGAGGGG